rnacentral:rRNA from 1 species
GACGAACGCUGGCGGCGUGCUUUACACAUGCAAGUCGAACGGACCUUUCGGGGUUAGUGGCGGACGGGUGAGUAACACGUGGGAACGUGCCUUUAGGUUCGGAAUAGCUCCUGGAAACGGGUGGUAAUGCCGAAUGUGCCCUUAGGGGGAUAGAUUUAUCGCCUUUAGAGCGGCCCGCGUCUGAUUCGCUAGUUGGUGAGGUAUUGGCUCACCCAGGCUACGAUCAGUAGCUGGUCUGAGAGGAUGACCAGCCACAUUGGGACUGAGACACGGCCCAAACUCCUACGGGAGGUAGCAGUGGGGAAUCUUGCGCAAUGGGCGAAAGCCUGACGCAGCCAUGCCGCGUGGAUGAUGAAGGUCUUAGGAUUGUAAAAUCCUUUCACCGGUGAAGAUAAUGACUGUAGCCGGAGAAGAAGCCCCGGCUAACUUCGUGCCAGCAGCCGCCGUAA